rnacentral:rRNA from 1 species
AUUGAACGCUGGCGGCAGGCCUAACACAUGCAAGUCGAACGAGUGGCGGACGGGUGAGUAAUGUCUGGGAAACUGCCUGAUGGAUGGGGAACAAUACUGGAAACGGUAGCUAAUACCUCAUACCAUCAGAUGUGCCCAGAUGGGAUUAGCUGGUCGGUGGGGUAACGGCUCACCUAGGCGACGAUCCAUAGCUGGUCUGAGAGGAUGACCAGCCACACUGCAACUAGGAUGCGCUGUAGCAUCCGACGUGAGACACCGGUGGAUAAUAUUGCACAGGGGGCACAAGCCUGAUUGAGCCAUUGGGCGAGUAUGAAACGGACCUUCGGGUUGUGAAGGACUUGCAGUGGGGAAGCGUUACCUGACGAAUAAGCACCGGCUAACUCCGUGCCAGCCGCCGCGGUAAUUC